UACGGAGGGUGCGAGCGUUGUCCGGAAUCAUUGGGCGUAAAGGGCGCGUAGGUGGCCUGCUAAGCGUGCGGUGAAAGCUCGGGGCUCAACCCCGAGUCGGCCGUGCGAACUGGUGGGCUUGAGCGCUGUAGAGGCAGGCGGAAUUCCGGGUGUAGCGGUGGAAUGCGUAGAGAUCCGGAAGAACACCGGUGUCGAAGGCGGCCUGCUGGGCAGUUGCUGACACUGAGGCGCGACAGCGUGGGGAGCAAACAGG
rnacentral:rRNA from 1 species